UACCUUAGUAUAUGUGACUCCCAAAAACUCUAAGAAUUUAUUCAAAGGUGCUCGCUUGUCAGAAAACUUUUAAAAGCGUGUGAUAUUCUUCCUGGGGGUGUAUAUGAACAGAUUUUGAUAUGAUUUCAUGUUGCCAAAAUGCUGUCAAUUCCACUUUAAUGCAUAUUGCAAUUGGUGGACAAAAUCCAUGGUAGUUAGUCAAGGCCAUUAUGGAGGAUAUUGUUGUGAAAUUUACAUGUUUGUUAACUUUUUUUUCAUGAAUGCAACUUUUGUUAUUCUCACUGUAAAUAUACAUUGUUGUCCUAUCUCUAGUGAUAAGCUACAGUGAUAAGCUACAGCUACGGUAUUUCCCAACUCAACAUGGCACUUGACUGAAUUACACAUUUCAUUCACAAGAAACUCUUUCUUCCUCUUUACCCAAUAAGAUACACAGCCCAGAGAGCUGAAGGGUUUAGCACUAUCUGGUCUAACAAUACUGUGGGUGUGGGUGGGUGUCCGUCCUAUCGCUCUUCCCUCCUCAGAGACAGCAAAGACAACUGCCCCCAAUUUAACCCCAGCUGUCCCCACCCACCCAACCUCACCUCGUCACAAUCCACAACAAGCCUCAAGGGUCAGGGUUCACUAAGCCCUGCCACCCACCCCCCCAUCAUGCCCGGUGUGUGUCAGUCAGGUCUUUUUUCCAGACCCCCCCCCCCCCCCCCUCCCCACAUACACACAGUCCUAACACGUGUAGCUGUGUGUCAGUCAUGUCUUUCCAGACCCCCCCCUCCCCACAUACACACAGUCUAACACGUGUAGCUAUGUGUCUUUUUGCGUGUCAGCUGCUUGAGUGAAAAUCUUCUUUUUUUCCCUCCUGAUGUCACAUUGGCAAUAAUGGAGAGAAAUCAUGGCUGGCAACUAUUUUCUUACAUUUUGUAAUGUUUUGUUUGUGUUUGGUUUUUCAACGUUGAAUUUGCGAUAUUUAUAUUUUUGUAUUAUGAGAUGUUUUUGUUUUGUUUACUUCCAUUAUUGGUCAUACAUGUCAGUGGAUAACAAAUGCAGGGAUUUUUAUGUCUAUUGAAAAACACUAUUACUAUUGUUUUGACAUGAAUGGUGUUCAAUCUGUAUAAAGUGCUUACUAAUGUUAAGUAGGGAAACCAGAGUAUAUAACAUUUACACUACAAGACUCACCAUAGCUCUUAGAGGAUUUUAAAAGGAAAAGAAACAGAUCUAUGGUUUUCUACAGAUGCCAUUUGGUCUUGGUUGGCGAGGAUAUAUAUUGUUUCAGUUACAAAGAUAAAUGUAUGCCAUAUAAUUUAUUUAUAUGAAAAUGUAUUUUUGUAGUGUACAUAGUUGUCAAGUUAUUUGACAGAAGUAUAUAUUUUUAAGAGUUUAUAUGUAAUAAUACCGUAACAGAGAAAAAUCCUACGGUGCACACUUUCAUCGCUAACUGGCUCUGACGGCAUUGACUGACUCGUCCCACUCAGUAUUAUCUAUCAUAGGGGAGAGAACUCAGCCAGCUGUUUCUAUGGGUUUGUCAAAGGCUGGCCAUGAAAGUAGAAGUUGUACCAGCUCUCUAAAUACUAAUGUUCAAACACUGAUAGAAUUCUAACAAAUACAAAUAUUAUAACUUAUUUGUCUCUUUUUUUUAAUAACUUUAAUAAAUGGAUCUUAAAGGAAUUGUUUGUUGUUGACUCAGAACAUGUUUUUGUUAAAGUCCCACUCGUUUUGAGUAAAAUAUAGUUUUUUACCUCUGAAUAUUGUUUACCAUGUACUGUAUGGUUUCACACUUUACAUUAUGUUGAACUGAUAUCAUUUAAAUGAGUAGUUACAUUAUGUUUACUUAAUGUAAAGUGUUGCCAGAACCCUUGAUUAUGGAGCAUUUCCCCCUGUACAUCACUAGGUCAAAACAUUUUAGGUGAACACUCAGGUACUCCUUGUCCAUUCCUCUCCUCUCCCACCUCGCCAUUGAAACUGGCUGACAUCUGGUCCUGAAUUCAGCAGCUCCCUCUAACAGCCACCUCCCUCGUUCCCCCCCCCCCCCCCCCUCUGCUCCCCUGUUUGGUAGGAUUUUGUAGACAGCUUUAUAACUGCAAGGAAAUUGGUUGUAGUUCCAUUUCAGCUGGUCUGUUCAGAGUAAUGAAAAAGGGCAUGUGGCCAGGAGCUAACUGAUGAAGAUCCAGUCAGACUACCUCCUCUCCCUGUUUACUGACUGACAAUGACUGGCUGGCUGGCUGACUGACUGAAUGAUUGACUAGCUGACUGACUGACUGACAAUGAUUGAUUGACUGGCUGACUGACAAUGACUGACUGGCUGAUUGACUGACUGGCUGACUGAAUGAAUGACGGGCUGACUGACUGAAUUACUAAAAUCCAGGCUCUUAAUGAACAAGUGUUUCCUGUACCUGUCCUUUCAG
ensembl:lncRNA